AUUGAACGCUGGCGGCAUGCCUUACACAUGCAAGUCGAACGGUAACAGGUCUUCGGACGCUGACGAGUGGCGAACGGGUGAGUAAUACAUCGGAACGUGCCCAGUCGUGGGGGAUAACUACUCGAAAGAGUAGCUAAUACCGCAUACGAGCUGAGGAUGAAAGCGGGGGACCUUCGGGCCUCGUGCGAUUGGAGCGGCCGAUGGCAGAUUAGGUAGUUGGUGGGAUGAAAGCUUACCAAGCCGACGAUCUGUAGCUGGUCUGAGAGGACGACCAGCCACACUGGGACUGAGACACGGCCCAGACUCCUACGGGAGGCAGCAGUGGGGAAUUUUGGACAAUGGGCGAAAGCCUGAUCCAGCAAUGCCGCGUGCAGGAUGAAGGCCUUCGGGUUGCAAACUGCUUUUGUACGGAACGAAAAAGUCUCCUCUAAUACAGGAGGCCCAUGACGGUACCGUAAGAAUAAGCACCGGCUAACUACGUGCCAGCCGCCGCCGUAA
rnacentral:rRNA from 1 species